rnacentral:tRNA from 1 species
GGCCCCUUGGUGUAGUGGUUGCAUUUCGGUUUCGGGUACCGGAGGUGCCGGGUUCAAAACCUGAAGGGGCCA